rnacentral:sRNA from 1 species
GUUACACGAGCACACUGUCCCAUUCAUCGAUUCACAUUGCCACGUUGAUUUCAUGUACAACCAAAUGGUUCAUAAUAAUCCGAAUUCAUCACUCAGUCAUGGCCUAUCGCAUUGGAUUCAUCGAUAUCCAUAUGGAUUUCCGAAAUCUUUUUAUGGAGUCAUUGCGAAUUUCAUUAAACCUUCGCUUUUUGUUGUGAAUGAUGGUGGUGGUGGAAAUGGAUAUGAUAUAGAUUGGAUUAUAAAUGAAAUUGAAUCGAAUAUCUACUUGGGAACCACUUGGGGAUGUCAUCCACAUUAUGCACAAGAGUAUGUGUCACUUCUUGGUGUAGUUUGUAGUCUGGCAGACCCAAUUUUUUUAAAACGUUUUAGUGAAAGAAGUUGAAGUGAAAAUUAAAAAUUUUUUUUUUUUGAAAAUUGAAAAAAAAAACAUAAUUUUUCGGCUAUUCUUUUUGGAAAAAAAUAAUAAAAAUCGAAUUUAAUACAUUUUUCAAUUUUUUUUUGCAAAGAAAAUUUGCAAGUUUAACCUUUUUUUAUUAAAAAUGUACAGAAAAUGCACCUUGAAAUUAAAAAAAAAUCAAUUUUUUCCUCCUAAAUUGAUAUUUCUCACUGAAUUGUUUGGCUUUCAGGGGAAUGUUCUAAAAUAGUCAAAAAAUCACUUUAAAUAAUGAAAAAAAACACAUAAUUUUUGGAACUGAUUUUUCCACCAAAAUUUUGAAAAAAAAAAUCCUUUUUCCCCAAAAAUUAAAAAUUUUUUGCACUUUUUCCCAAUUUUCUUUAAAAAAAACGGGAAAAUUUCUCCAAAACUCGUUAAAAACCCAAAUUUUCGAAAUAUCCGAUGGGUCUGCUACCGUUUUUUUGUAGUUUGUAGCCUAGCAGACCGAUCUACAGAAUUUAAAAAUUCGACAAAAGAUAAUAUCAGAUUGCUUUGGCGAGGAUUUUUAUUUUAUACACACUGAUUAUUUAAAAAUUGAACAAAAAAGUUGUAGUUUGUAGUUUGUAGGCCUGCUAGACUACAAACUACAAUUUUCUGUCGAAAAUGUUCUAUGACGUAUGCCAAACUACAAACUACACAUGCUUUUGUAGUUUGUAGUCUAUCAUCAAAUAAUUACAGAUGGGCUUCAAAAGACAUCUUCUGGCAGACGCUUGAGCACAUUUUAUCGAAUGCAGCCACGUGGAAGGUGUUGGCCGUCGGAGAGUGUGGACUAGAUUUACACCGUUGUAUAUCGGAUCUAGAAGUACAGAAAAUGGUAUUUGAGAAGCAUAUCGAUUUGGCAUACAAGUAUCAAUUACCAUUAGUCAUUCACUGCAGAAGUGGACAAAAAGGACGUGCAGAAGAACAAUGCCUGCGUAUUUUGAAGAAG